AAUGAACGCUGGCGGCAUGCCUUACACAUGCAAGUCGAACGGCAGCAUGACCUAGCUUGCUAGGUUGAUGGCGAGUGGCGAACGGGUGAGUAAUGCAUCGGAACGUGCCUUUUUGUGGGGGAUAACGUAGCGAAAGUUACGCUAAUACCGCAUAUUCUCUGAGGAGGAAAGCAGGGGACCUUCGGGCCUUGCGCUAGAAUAGCGGCCGAUGUCGGAUUAGCUAGUUGGUGAGGUAAAGGCUCACCAAGGCAACGAUCCGUAGCGGGUCUGAGAGGAUGAUCCGCCACACUGGGACUGAGACACGGCCCAGACUCCUACGGGAGGCAGCAGUGGGGAAUUUUGGACAAUGGGCGCAAGCCUGAUCCAGCCAUGCCGCGUGAGUGAAGAAGGCCUUCGGGUUGUAAAGCUCUUUCGGCUGGGAAGAAAUCGCACCCUCUAAUACAGGGUGUGGAUGACGGUACCAGCAUAAGAAGCACCGGCUAACUACGUG
rnacentral:rRNA from 1 species